GACAGGGGUCUCGAGCGUUAAUCGGAAUCACUGGGCUUAAAGGGUGCGUAGGCGGGCCUGUAAGUGUCCUGUGAAAUCCCCCGGCUCAACCGGGGAACUGCGGGGCAUACUGCGGGUCUUGAGGAAGGUAGGCGCCGAGGGAACAGUAGGUGGAGCGGUGAAAUGCGUAGAUAUCUACUGGAACGCCGAUGGUGAAGACGCUCGGCUGGGCCUUUCCUGACGCUGAGGCACGAAGGCGUGGGGAGCAAACAGG
rnacentral:rRNA from 1 species